rnacentral:snRNA from 1 species
AUGCUGACGAAGUUAGCACAUCUACUAAAACUGGAAGGAUGCAGAGAAGACUAGCAGGGCCCCUGUGCGGGGAUGGCACGCAAACCGGCCAAGGGUUCUGGCUGUAG